GGCUGAGGCUGGUAUUCCUGCUCAAGGGACCCUCCUGAGCAUUCUCUCAAGUCAGCCUAGAACGAUCACUGUGACCACAUGCUUGGUUGAUCCUACCUUCUAGCAGACCAGCAGCUGCCCCCCAGGAAGAGCUGCCUUGGGACUCCUCCAUGUUUUACUAAACAUAACCCCUCAUCUCUGGGUUCUGACCCUGCUCCACAGUCUCCCACACUCUGACUUGGAUUUUGGCUCUGUACACUCACUCCCCUCUUGGGCUUCCCUGGAAGUUCAGAAGGUAAAGAAUCUGCCUUUAGUGCAGGAGACCCAGGUACAGUCUCUCGAUUGGGAAGAUCCCCUCGAGAAGGAAAUGGCAACCCACUCCAGUAUUCUUGCCUGGAGAAUUCCAUGGACAGAGGAACCUGGCAAGCUACAGUCCACGGGUUCGCAGAGUUGGAUGCUACUGAAUGACAAACACUUAUUUCACUCCCCUCUUGGCAUCAGCUUCCCCACCAUCCAGUACUGGCUGCCUGCUUAGCCUCCCAGCCACCAGGUCAAGUAUGUGGACUCUCUGCAAAUAUUUACUAUGGGUCUCUGAGGUGCCCGGCACUGUGCUAGACAGGAACUGCCUUGUGAACCAAAACAGACUUGUCACUGCCCUUGGAGAACUUUGCUUUCUGAUGUGGGAAACAGUGGUGAAACAAAUGUAAAAUGUGUACAGUAUUAUGUGCUGGGGAGGGGAGGGCACAGUACUGUGGAUGUCUAUCAGAGGGGAGCCUUGCCCAAGGAGCAAUAUUUAAGCUAAAAUCUAAGACAGCAGUGGGUGUUACCUAGGUAAAGAGGAGAGGGAGAUGGAAGAGGAAAGGGUGUCAUGUGCAAAGUCUGGGCUGUGGGACGGAACAUGUCAUAUCAGGGGACGGAAGGCCUGGGUGGCUGCUGCAGAGGGGGAGAGAGGUGUGAAGCGGCUUUCGACCUUCUGUAACCUAUAUGGCACCCACUCUCUGGCCAAGGUUCAUCACACAGCAGCCACCCACCCCGAUGUAGCAGUCAUUUGGUAACUGGCUCUAGUGGGCCACACUUUGUGCAGCGGUGCAGGUUGUCAGCCCUGACUCUGUGAAUAGCAAAACUGAAUGUCUCUCUUCCCUCUUUCUAGCCCCCAUCCCUGGGGCUUUCCCCCUUUUUCUAGGGAAAUAGGACAAAUCUGACUACAGACUAUAACAGAAAGAGAUGGGUUUCAUGGUUUAUUUUAGCUGGCCAGGCACAGGGUGUUCAAAGUAGUCCUUUAUUUUAAAUUCAAGUUGUGCAUCUUUCGAUUCAUAUGUUGUCCAUAGAGGUUGGAAGUCUGGGAGGAACUCCUUUAUCCCAUUCAGUUGUCCCCUACAUCCUCGGCAAUUGAAGUGUUCCCACACAUCUUACCUUCUGGAGGUCAGCCCCGUCUCCUCCAGCCCCUGGAGAACAACAACAGACUUCCCUUUGAAUCCUCAUUUACAAUAGAGUGUUCUAGGAAGAGGUGACUAAUCACAGUGAAGAAGGGACUGUCCCAAAGGACUCCAUGAUUCAGUAGGGAACUCUAGAGCUUCUUAUCUAUGUGGUGUACUCCCCAAGAAUGUACUCAGAUCUUUAAAUACCAAAA
ensembl:lncRNA